AACUGGUAGCAUCUGUGAUAUGGUUUGGCUGUGUCCCCACCCAAAUCUCAUCUUGAAGUGUAGCUUCCAUAAUCCCCAUGUGUCGUGGGAGCCACCCGGUGGCAGGUAAUUGAAUCAUGAGGGUGGGGUUUUCCCAUGCUGUUCACAUGAUAGUAAGACUCACGACAUCUGAUGGUUUUAUAAAGGGGAGUCCCCUUGCACAUGCCCUCUUGCCUGCUACCAUGUAAGAUGUAGCUUUGCUCCUCAUUUGCCUUCUGCCAUGAUUGUGAGGCCUCCCCAGCCAUGUUGAACUGUGAGUCAAACUCUUUCCUUUAUAAAUUACCCAGUCUUGGGUAUGUUUUUAUUCGCAGCAUGAGAACAGACUAAUACAGUCUGGCUACACUUACCUGUUGGGAAGAGGCCCUAUUGGUAGCAAAGAGUGGUGAGAUUGAUUAGUGAUGACUGUUUUGGGCAUGAAAUCAGAGAUUGGUGGCAGGUAUCAAAAAAAGCUCUUUGGCAUCCAGAGGUCCUUUUAGAGAGAAAACCAUCUUUGUCUUGGAUAUAUUUUUACAGGUUGUUUUAGGUGUUAAAGACAGGGCCUGAUGGACAUAAGCUAUAACAAAAUAGCAAAACAAAAUAAGAGGUCAAUUGUUCUGCCAAAUGAAUAAGAAUUCAAGAUCAUGGAUGAGCAGGAGAGGCAGAAAAGAGAAAGGAAGUGUAGGAGAAAAGAGGCUGAGCUACAUGCUGGGUAGUGGAGCUUCAAAGAGAAUGGAAGAGAACACGGGAAAUUCCUUAUGGUAGAGCAGACAAAGAUUUCAAAAGUCAGAAUACCUCAUUUCCAAUUUGUUGAUCAAAACUGACAAUUCUAGUCUUUCAUACUUGCUGACACUUGUGUUGGUGGCAUUUGGGGAAAUAAAGGAAUGGGAGCAGUGUUCAGUAUGAGAUGACAUAAUAAGGGAAAAGAAGAGAGCAUGUAAGGUGCUUAAGUGUUGAUCCACAAAAGGAACCAACUCAGCAAAACAGAGAAUCCAGGCUGGAUGUGGUGGCUCAUGCCUGUAAUUCCAGCAAUUGGGGAAGCCGAAGUGAGAGCUUCAGCGGAGCCCAGGAAUUCAAGAACAGCCUGGGCAACAUAGUGAGACCUGUCUCUUCGGAAAAAAAAAAUGGCUAUGCACAGUGGCACACACCUAUGGUUCCAGCUAAUUUGGAGGCUGAGGUGAGAGGAUCGCUUGAACCUGAGAAGUCAAGGAUCAUGCCACUGUACCCCAGUGUGGGCAACAGAGACAGACCCUGUCUUAAAGAGAGAGAGGAGAGAGAGAGAGAGAGAGAGAGAAAGAGAGAGAGAGAGAGAGAGAGAGAGAGAGAGAGAAAAUCUGGAUAUAAAGAAAUACAAGCUCCACCUUCACCCUUAAGUUUCCCUGGACCAGUUUGGAAAAGAACCUGUCUUCUGCUGCAUGUGGGAUGAGGGUCUGGGCUAAUUUCUUUUGAAUUUUAAAAAAUAGGAUACUACAAGGUGAUGUAUGUAAGAUAGAUACCUACCUGCUUCCCUGUUCCCUGCUAUCCUCCUAAUUUUACAGAUGGGGAAACUGAGGCCCAUACAUCAGGAAGAAACCUAACGGAGGUUUCAUCUGGUGACUGCCCAAUGAGCCUUUUUCUGUGAGACUGUGGUAGGAGAUACUAGGCAAGGUUAAUGAGCCAACCCUUCCUGUCUGCCGUCAUCCUUGGUCUGCAGCACUCAGCUCCAUUUGGGCGAAAUAUCACAGACUCUCAGAUGCACUGUUAUUUUUAAAGGGAGAAUUGUCAAAACUUAAAUGAAGGCUGUUUAGUCAUAUGCAUGCUUGUGUGUGUUGGCAUAUUUGGGCAGGUUACGGGGUAUAGUUGGGAAUCUGGGUAUGACUGGAAGGGAAAGGGAAAGGAAGGGGGUUUCAUGGUCCAAUUGCUUGCUUUUAGUUUUUGCUGUAACCUUCCUCCCCAGAGGGGUCAUUUCAGUAGAAUGCCCUGAAACAUUAAGUCUUGCAUGUAAACAGUGGGUGGUCACUUAGUAAUGGGAAUCUAGGGGAGCCCAAAGGGCGGCCUGAUGAAAAACUGGUUCCUCCAUUUUCCUCCCUACAGUGCCUAACAUUUCCAUCAUGAGGUACCCCCUUGGGAUGAAGCAUGGCUAUGCAAAUGUCUUUGCUAAGAAGGGAGCAAACUCUGUAAUAUCUACCAAUGCUCUGUAAGGAUUCAUUAUUGAUAAGCCCUCAAAAUGUACUGCUGUUUCUGUUUUCAAAAUAUUUGCAUGUAGACAUUGUUAUUUGAGCCUCAUCACAUUUCUAUGUCAAGAACAAAUAAUGUCCCCAUUUUUCAGAGGAAUAAACUGAGCCUUGGUCCUAGAAGAUAGUGACUUGUCCGGGAGCAACCUAAAGAGCAGAGGCCACUGACAAUGAUCUCACCACUCUCAGAAGCAUAAGAAUGAGCCAUGGAUUCACAGUGGUGUAGCCUGAGGAGGUGAUUUGACGGAAGACAGCAGAAAUCUCAUCACUGACCCAGGAGGUGAAGGAAAUACCCAGUGUGACUCGAUGGAGCCCAAAGACUUUCCUCCCCAGCUCUUCUCCCUCCGCCUCAGCAAUUUCAAGGUCCAGGACCCUGGCCAGCAUGAGAGGAGAGAGUGGAAACUAAGACAUAAAUCAAACUUACAUCAGGAAUACAGUCACCUAUCACCAGGACCUCAGGAUGCCUGGUCAUCCCUCCAAGAACCAUGAGCACUGUUAGAGAAAAGUCACAAAAACAAUUCAACAUUAUUCCAAUUCUUGCUUGCCAUCCUGCAUUUCUUGGCCUGGAGAUUCCCUUACCCUCAAAGUCAAUGCUUCUGGAGUAAGCAGAGCAGUACCAAAUGGCUAAGGGCCCCUCUUGGAGGCUGGACCUAUAUCACAACAGUAUAUGCAUGUGAUACCUCCUAGUAUGGUGCUUAGGAGUCAGGCAGAUCUGGUUCUAACACAAACUCUGCCACCAACCAGCUGUGUGCCCUUGGUCCAGUAAGUUAACUUCUGUUUCUCCAUUUCCCCUUUGGAAUUUUAACAAUAUCAAAAUACUACCUAUUAUAUUAUACAACAAAAUAAAAUAAUGCACUUUAAACAUCUGGUAUCUUUGUUUCCUCAGUAAAUUUCAGAGUCAUCCUUAUUAUUGCUGUUACUGUUGUUGUUUUAAUUAACAAUAAUUGCAAAUAAGCACUUUAGCUUCUGAAUUUAAUGCUAGAAUAUCUUUUAACAUGAAGAAUUCUUGACCUCCACUCUCAUCAUCUCCUUUUGACCCGGGAGAACCCAGUUGUUCCUGUGGACUUGCAAUCUUGUUAUUUCCUAGGCAAGGGCACUAGAUGCACUGACAUUUGCUUGAACUUAAGCCUGCAAGGAAGGAAGAAGCAGUUCUUUCCUUCUGAAUACCAGAUAGUUUCUAACUGCUGCUGAAUAGGGGUAGAAUAUAAAUAGCGGGUCAGAGAAAAAAUACCCUCGUUUCUUUUUUUUUUCUUCUUCUCUGGCCUCAAAUCUUUCUCUCAUCUCCCAGAAAUGACUGAUUUCACUGCUAUCCUGCCACAUACCUUGCACUGUGA
rnacentral:lncRNA from 1 species